UGAAGUAGAGGACAGUGGCGGACGGGUGAGUAACACGUGAGUAACCUGCCUCUGAGAGUGGGAUAGCUUCUGGAAACGGAUGGUAAUACCGCAUAACAUCAUGGAUUCGCAUGUUUCUAUGAUCAAAGAUUUAUCGCUUAGAGAUGGACUCGCGUCUGAUUAGCUAGUUGGUAAGGUAACGGCUUACCAAGGCGACGAUCAGUAGCCGGACUGAGAGGUUGAUCGGCCACAUUGGGACUGAGACACGGCCCAGACUCC
rnacentral:rRNA from 1 species